CCUACGGGGGGCAGCAGUGGGGAAUAUUGGACAAUGGGGGGAACCCUGAUCCAGCGACGCCGCGUGAGUGAAGAAGUAUUUCGGUAUGUAAAGCUCUAUCAGCAGGGAAGAAAAUGACGGUACCUGACUAAGAAGCCCCGGCUAACUACGUGCCAGCAGCCGCGGUAAUACGUAGGGGGCAAGCGUUAUCCGGAUUUACUGGGUGUAAAGGGAGCGUAGACGGUGCAGCAAGUCUGAUGUGAAAGGGCGGGGCCGAACCCCGGGACUGCAUUGGAAACUGGUGAACUGGAGUACAGGAGAGGUAAGUGGAAUUCCGAGUGUAGCGGUGAAAGGCGUAGAUAUUAGGAGGAACACGAGUGGCGAAGGCGACUUACUGGACUGUAACUGACGAUGAUGCGCGAAAGCGUGGGGAGCAAACAGGAUUAGAUAACCGAGUAGUC
rnacentral:rRNA from 1 species